AGAGUUUGAUCAUGGCUCAGGAUGAACGCUAGCUACAGGCUUAACACAUGCAAGUCGAGGGGCAGCAUGUUGGUUGCUUGCAACCAACGAUGGCGACCGGCGCACGGGUGAGUAACGCGUAUCCAACCUACCCUUGUCCAUCGGAUAACCCGUCGAAAGGCGGCCUAACACGAUAUGCGGUUCACAGCAGGCAUCUAACGUGAACGAAAUGUGAAGGAGAAGGAUGGGGAUGCGUCUGAUUAGCUUGUUGGCGGGGUAACGGCCACCAAGGCUACGAUCAGUAGGGGUUCUGGAGACGGAAGGUCCCCCANAUUGGAACUGAGACACGGUCCAAACGUCCUACGGGAGGCA
rnacentral:rRNA from 1 species